UACGUAGGGACCAAGCGUUGUUCGGAUUUACUGGGCGUAAAGGGCGCGUAGGCGGCGCGGUAAGUCACUUGUGAAAUCUCUGAGCUUAACUCAGAACGGCCAAGUGAUACUGCAGUGCUAGAGUGUGGAAGGGGCAAUCGGAAUUCUUGGUGUAGCGGUGAAAUGCGUAGAUAUCAAGAGGAACACCAGAGGCGAAGGCGGCUCACUGGACAGUUACUGACACUCAACUACGAAAGCGUGGGGAGCAAACAGG
rnacentral:rRNA from 1 species